GGAGGGGUGACCGAGUGGUUUAAGGUGCCGCUCUCGAAAAGCGGUGUCAUCUCUGGUGACCGUGGGUUCGAAUCCCACCCCCUCCG
rnacentral:tRNA from 1 species